rnacentral:rRNA from 1 species
AACGAACGCUGGCGGCAUGCCUAACACAUGCAAGUCGAACGAGACCUUCGGGGCUAGUGGCGCACGGGUGCGUACCGCGUGGGAACCUGCCCUUAGGUUCGGAAUAACUCCCCGAAAGGGGUGCUAAUAACGGAUAAUGUCUUCGGACCAAAGAUUUAUCGCCUUUGGAUGGGCCCGCGUUGGAUUAGCUAGUUGGUAUGGUAAAAGCCUACCAAGGCGACGAUCCAUAGCUGGUCUGAGAGGAUGAGCAGCCACACUGUGACUAAGACACGGCCCAGACUCCUACGGGAGGCAGCAGUGGGGAAUAUUGGACAACGGGCGAAAGCCUGAUCCAGCAAGGCCGCGUGAGUGAUGAGGGCCUUAGGGUUGUAAAGCGCUUUUACCCGGGAGGAUAAUGACAGUACCGGGAGAAUAAGCUCCGGCUAACUCCGUG